AUACUGUGAUGAUACCUAGAGAAUGGUUUCGCAUAUUUCUGAGAACAUGUGAUGUGCAAAUCUCUUGGCUGUCUGAGCAU